GCGAUUUUAGUUUAAGUUUAAAAUGAUAGUUUGUCUCACUAUAGAUGAUGUUUAUCAAGUUGCU
rnacentral:tRNA from 1 species